CCCUCACUGCUCUCUCUCAUAGCCUCGAGCGAUGGGGGGGCUCAACCCGGCCCUGGCCGAUGGUGGCUGACCUUAGAGCGCACAGACAAUAUCUUUCCCUGAAGAGAGGAAAAGAUUCUAAAGCAGUGAGGGCCCAAGUUGGCAACCACCUCAUAGCCGAUCGAGGACGUCGCCGGCGGCCCCCUUCAUUGUUAGGUUGCACCCGCGCUCUCCAAUCUUCUCAGAUUCAAAGAGCAAAUUUUGUAUGUACGAAGCGAGGAGCCCUUCGAGUUUGCACGCUCGACCGUGGAUUGCCCAGUUCGGCUCUUCGUCUCAGUUCUUAUAGCGACCUUCAUCUGCAUAUGACAUCGUCCAACAAAUCAAGGAUCCCAUAUAUAUAGACACACGCCUACCACAUGGUAAGUAUAGUGAGCAGGACAAUAACAAGAGAAGUUUUAUUGACAAGUUUUUCUAAAUUCUCCCAAUUAUUCUCUAAAAAAAUCCCCAUAAUAAUUAUAUUACUACUACUGGCCGGAUAUUCUUUGUAGCUUGAAGGUUCCUCAGAAUAAGGAGACAAUUGAUGAUGGAA